rnacentral:rRNA from 1 species
UUGGCCUUGACAUACUAAGAACUUUCCAGAGAUGGAUUGGUGCCUUCGGGAACUUAGAUACAGGUGCUGCAUGGCUGUCGUCAGCUCGUGUCGUGAGAUGUUGGGUUAAGUCCGCAACGAGCGCAACCCUUUUCCUUAUUUGCCAGCGGGUAAUGCCGGGAACUUUAAGGAUACUGCCAGUGACAAACUGGAGGAAGGCGGGGACGACGUCAAGUCAUCAUGGCCCUUACGGCCAGGGCUACACACGUGCUACAAUGGUCGGUACAAAGGGUUGCUACCUCGCUAGAGGAUGCUAAUCUCAAAAAGCCGAUCGUAGUCCGGAUCGCAGUCUGCAACUCGACUGCGUGAAGUCGGAAUCGCUAGUAAUCGCGGAUCAGAAUGCCGCGGUGAAUACGUUCCCGGGCCUUGUACACACCGCCCGUCACACCAUGGGAGUUUGUUGCACCAGAAGUAGGUAGUCUAACCGCAAGGAGGACGCUUACCACGGUGUGGCCGAUGACUGGGGUGAAGUCGUAACAAGGUAGGCGUAGAUGA